CUAGUCUACUUUGCCUUAGCAUAAAGUGACCUACCAGAGCAGCACACCAUCACACAUGUACACCAUCCUAUGGUAUCAUUUCAUCUUGCGAAUCUGCUGGGACUCCUUUCCAACAACAAGCAGAACUCUACUGGACAUAAACCAAGAGAGAGGAAGAUGCUGGAUCUAAUACUGGAGAGG